UCCUCGGUGGCGCAAUUGGCUAGCGCGUCGUAAGUCGCAACCUUGGCUUAGUAGUAGUUCGCACUUGCUGACCACUCCCCAGUGACUGUUAAUCAGGAGGUUGAAAGUUCGAGCCUUUCCCGAGGAG